UCAUUUCUAUCUUUAUUUGUUAUAGAUUGAUGAACUAUUUGAUGGUUUUGUUUUAUUUCCCAACAUUAUUUUGAAUCCAUUAUUAACAUGAUCGUCGGAGACAUUGUAGGUACCACACCCUUGCUAUGAAUAUUUCAUAAAUAGAUCAAAAACAAUCUUGAGGUCAUCAGAGAUGAUGUUCUUCUGUUUGCCUCUUUUGAUUUGGUUUGAUUUGUUUGUGCUCAACAUAUUAUUCAGGAGGAUAACUUGGAAGAGUUUGGUGAAUAUUAAAAUAAUAGAGAGUAACUAGAAAUAGAAUGCAAAUAUCUAAUGGUGUCCGACACCGACCCAUAUCUACACCUCUUAUCAUCGAGUUUUGAAUUUGGAUUUUGAAAUUCAGUUUUGUGAAGCUGG